rnacentral:lncRNA from 12 species
UAAUUCCUCUCUGCUUCAAAUUCCUCUUUCAUUUAGAUCAGGCUUGACCAGUUGUUGAAAGAAGGAAAAACAGCCUACCCCAACUUGGUGGUUGCCUGCAGAGACAGUUUUGCAGAGCCAUGGGAGCUCUGGAAGUGAACCCAGACAAGAAGAGGUCAUGGCUGGA